rnacentral:lncRNA from 1 species
CUAGGAUAGAAGACGUCACUGGUUCGGGUGUUCUUGAAGUUUUGAGAAAAAGCUCGAUGAGCUUCCUCGAGUUCCAAACUGACCGAUAAAUUCCUGUCUCUCAAUUUUGAUCCCUAGCGCAAGCAAACUAUCAUGGUCACGGUCCAAAAGAUGCUCAUGUUCUUAGUGCCCCCGUAGGGGUGGCCAGCUACCUCUUCGGUUUUGCAAUAGAGGAAGAUUGAGCCCAGAUGGACGCGGUGAGAGUACCUUGUCUUUUCAACGUAGCCCAACGGGCUUUAAACCGGGUAAUCUCUAAUUCUUCUAUCCAUUUUUGUACUUAGUUUUUUCUUCCUUAGUAUUAUUUUUCCCUUCUAUGUUUACAGGCUUCAAUGCUUCAUCAUA